AAUCCGUGGGGCCCCGAAACAGUCGGACACGACUGAACGACUAAGCAAUGGCAGCAAGGACGUCAAAGUGCCUGGAAGACCUGAUUCUCUUUGACAGAAAGAAGCACCCCAGAGGCCAUGCUUUUGAUUUAGUUUUUAGUUCUCCAGGACAGUAUUUGCACCUCAAGACUCUCCUACAGACUAAUGAAACCCAGAUGGAAAGCAGAGACACAGGACAGAAGUGGAUGGGACCUUUCAGGAGGAUGCUUUCUACCUUCAGGAAUUUCAUCUGUUAUUAAACCAUGAACCAGUCUUAUUGAUUUAAUGCCUUGGCUUGGUACACAGCUCCAUUCAUCAAAGCUUCAGAAUGGCAGAGUGACUUCCUGCGAUAAUAGUCAGUUUUCUCCCCUGGGCAGAUGUACUGUUGGUGGGUCACCUGGUUUUGUAGGGUUCCUUAUUAUACUUGUGCUCAGUUGUGUCCGACUCUUUGCGACCCCAUGGACUGUAGCCUGCCAAGCUCCUCUGUCCAUGGAAUUCUGCAGGCCAGAGUACUGCAGUGGGUAGCCUAUUGCUUCUCGAGUAGAUCUUCUUGACCCAGGAGUCAAACCAGGGUCUCCUGCAUUGCAGGCAGAUCCUUUACCAGCAGAGCUACCAGGGAAGCCCAUUGUACUUGUGCAGCCCUCCUUUAUUCAACUCAUGCCUGGGACCUUUAGCACCUGGCUCACAGUCUUUUCUAAAUUAAGGAGUGAUAAAUAACCCUCUAUAGAUUGCUUUAUCCAAAAACAUAGAUUUAGCAAAUAUGGAGAAUCCACAGUAUAUAUGUCUUUGGUUUCCUGAGAUCCCUUAGAUAAUAUGGAAUUCUUGAAAAUGUGAAGAGAUUCUGAUAACCUCAAAAUCAAGGUUUUAUUAAAUUACUAGUAUCCAGCAGACUGUAAAUUUUCCAAACUACUCUGCUCUCCCCAAGCCCCAGGCCUCACCCAAACCUGCAUCCAGUCCUCACCAGAUAGAUAGUGGCCGGAUGAAUGAAAGAGUUCAUCAGUCAGUGUGACAGAAAGAAUUUGAAUAAAUAGUUCUUAUUUCCCUCAGUCUAGUAAAAGGAAACUAGCCUGAUAAAUAUAUGUGUAAGUUUGAUUGAAUCUGUGAUCCUGAGUAUUUGGAAAUCUGUGAUUUCAUUUCCCAGAUAUGCAGAGUAUAUUACGGUUUAGUAUCAAACUUUUUGCACAGAUAGGAACUUCUGCUCAUUUUCUUUGUUAAUCAGUUUGGCAUCCUACAAUACUUCGACUGUAGUAUCCAUGAAUCCUAUUAAUAAAAAACAGAAAGCAGAGGAACUAGGUCAGCCCCACAAUCAGGCUGGGGACUGUGGUGCGAAUGGAGGGAAGGAAGGAUUGAUAGAUACGACUACACACAUUUUGCCUUUUGAUACUGUUCAUGGGGUUCUCAAGGCAAGAACGCUGAAGUGGUUUGCCAUUCCCUUCUCCAAUGGACCACAUUUUGUCAGAAUGCUCCACCAUGACCUGUCCAUC